GCGCACCAGUCGCGAAUCUUCCACAAUGGACGAAAGUCUGAUGGAGCGACGCCGCGUGCGGGAUGAAGGCCUUAUGGGUUGUAAACCGCUGUCAGGGGGAAGAACAUCGGAAUGAACAAUACUCAUUCCGACUGACGUUACCCCCAGAGGAAGCUCCGGCCAACUCCGUGCCAGCAGCCGCGGUAAUACGGGGGAGCAAGCGUUGUCCGGAAUUAUUGGGCGUAAAGGGCGUGUAGGCGGCGAGGUAAGUCGAAUGUGAAAUCUCACGGCUCAACCGUGAAACUGCGUUCGAAACUACCCCUGCUUGAGUACGGGAGAGGUGUACGGAAUUCCUGGUGUAGCGGUGGAAUGGCGUAGAUAUCA
rnacentral:rRNA from 1 species